GGGGUGCAGCAGGCGCGAAACCUUUACAAUGCACGCAAGUGUGAUAAGGGAAUCCUMAGUGCUCAUGCUUUGCAUGGGCUUUUGCCAAGAGUAAAUAUCUUGGAGAAUAAGUGGUGGGUAAGACUGGUGCCAGCCGCCGCGGUAACACCAGCGCCACGAGUGGCAUYCACGUUUAUUGGGCCUAAAGCGUCCGUAGCCGGUUAGGUAAAUCUCUUGUGAAAUCGUCGCGCUCAACUUGACGGCGUGCAGGAGACACUGCCAGACUUGAGACCGGGAGGAGUCAGAGGUAUUCCGGGGGGAGCGGUAAAAUGUUAUAAUCCCUGGAGGACCACCUAUGGCGAAGGCAUCUGACCAGAACGGAUCUGACGGUGAGGGACGAAAGCCAGGGGAGCGAWCCGGAUUAGAUACCCGAGUAGUCCUGGCCGUAAACGCUGCGAGCUAGGUGUUGCACAUUUUACGAGGAUGYGCAGUGUCGAARMGAAGGUGUUAAGCUCGCCGCCUGGGAAGUACGUUCGCAAGACUGAAACUUUAAGGAAUUGGCGGGAGAGCACAA
rnacentral:rRNA from 1 species